rnacentral:rRNA from 1 species
AGAGUUUGAUCCUGGCUCAGCCUGAACGCUGGCGGCGUGGCUAAGACAUGCAAGUCGCACGGUGUAGCAAUACACAGUGGCGAACGGGUGAGUAAUGAAUCGCUAAUGUACCCCGGACUCUGGGAUAGCUGCCCGAAAGGGCAGGUAAUACCAGAUGAGACCACGGAGAGGCAUCUCUCUGUGCUCAAAGGUCCGCCGGUCUGGGAGCAGGCGAUUUCGUAUCAGCUUGUUGGUGAGGUAACGGCUCACCAAGGUGACGACGCGUAGCCGGACUGAGAGGUUGGCCGGCCACAUUGGGACUGAGACACUGCCCAGACUCCUACGGGGGGCUGCAGUAACGAAUCUUCCGCAAUGCACGAAAGUGUGACGGAGCGACGCCGCGUGUAGGACGAAGCCCUUCGGGGUGUAAACUACUGUCAGGGGUUAGAAAGUUCUGAUCAACCCCAGAGGAAGGCACGGCUAACUCUGUGCCAGCAGCCGCGGUAAGACAGAGGUGCCAAGCGUUAGGCGGAAUCACUGGGCUUAAAGCGUGUGUAGGCGGACUUGUAAGUACCUUGUGAAAUCCCACGGCUUAACCGUGGAACUGCUUGGUAUACUGCUUGUCUUGAGCCACUUAGGGGCUACCGGAACAAAUGGUGGAGCGGUGAAAUGCGUAGAUAUCAUUUGGAACGCCAAUGGUGAAAACAGGUAGCUGGGAGUGUGCUGACGCUGAGACACGAAAGCCAGGGGAGCGAACGGGAUUAGAUACCCCGGUAGUCCUGGCCGUAAACGAUGUCGACUAGAUCGUGGCAGCUCUGACG